UUCCCUACGGGGGGCAGCAGUGGGGGAUAUUGCACAAUGGGGGGAACCCUGAUGCAGCUCCGCCUCUUUUUUUCCUCCUCGCCUCGGCGCGUAAAGCCCUGUCAGCAGGGCCGAAAAUGACGGUACCUGCAGAAGAAGCCCCGGCUAACUACGUGCCAGCAGCCGCGGUAAUACGUAGGGGGCAAGCGUUAUCCGGAUUUACUGGGUGUAAAGGGGGCGCAGACGGCGAUGCAAGCCAGGAGUGAAAGCCCGGGGCCCAACCCCGGGACUGCUCUUGGAACUGCGUGGCUGGAGUGCAGGAGGGG
rnacentral:rRNA from 1 species